UUAAAAAGAGAAGCUAGCAGCUUACCAGAGGGUAGGUGACAUGCUUGCUUCCUAGCAGAAUGGCUGGUGGAAUAGAACAGUGCCUCUCUAAGGCUGCUGCUCUAAAUAAACACCUCUGUUUUACCAGGGUGGAGCAAGAAGUUAAUAAAUGCAAGAUUUAACCUGGGAUUUUGUUUUCCGUGAAGAAUGAUGUACUCACGUGCCAAAGGGCAUCUGGAAGGAGCUGAUCCAGCAGGUCAAGAGUCUUGUCACUAGAGCUGAGGCACCAGAUAACAGCACUUCAUCAGACUGGACCACUAAUCCACACAGGAAAGUAAAAUAUUUGAAUCCAAGCACAGAUAUUCCUCCAACACACCUGAGCAGCCCAACUAGAAAACAAGCAGGAGCACAGAAUAGUGUUGCAUGUUCCAUUCUGUAAACCACAGUGACCAAAAGGACUAAUAAAAACACAAAUCUUUCUUUUAUAA